ACUAGCAACCAUAUCACCCUGCAACUCACUACUGGCAACCCACUGAAGCUAAGCAGGUGUGAGCCUGGUCAGUACCUGGAUGGGAGACCUCCUGGAAAAUACUAAGGUUGCUGCUGGAA
rnacentral:rRNA from 1 species